UCAGUCGACUCCUACGGGGAGGCAGCAGUGGGGAAUAUUGCACAAUGGGGGAAACCCUGAUGCAGCCAUGCCGCGUGUGUGAAGAAGGCCUCGGGUUGUAAAGCACUUUCAGUAGGGAGGAAGGUAGUGUAGUUAACACCUGCACUAUUUGACGUUACCUACAGAAGAAGCACCGGCUAACUCCGUGCCAGCAGCCGCGGUAAUACGGAGGGUGCGAGCGUUAAUCGGAAUUACUGGGCGUAAAGCGCAUGCAGGCGGCCUGUUAAGUCAGAUGUGAAAGCCCGGGGCUUAACCUCGGAAUUGCAUUUGAAACUGGCAGGCUAGAGUCUUGUAGAGGGGGGUAGGAAUUUCAGGUGUAGCGGUGAAAUGCGUAGAGAUCUGAAGGAAUACCAGUGGCGAAGGCGGCCCCCUGGACAAAGACUGACGCUCAGAUGCGAAAGCGUGGGGAGCAAACAGGAUUAGAUACCCUGGUAG
rnacentral:rRNA from 1 species